rnacentral:rRNA from 1 species
GAAGAAGGCCUGAGGGUUGUAAAGCACUUUCAGUGGGAAGGAGGAUUGAUAGGUUAAGAGCUAAUUGAUUGGACGUUACCCACAGAAGAAGCACCGGCUAACUCCGUGCCAGCAGCCGCGGUAAUACGGAGGGUGCGAGCGUUAAUCGGAAUUACUGGGCGUAAAGGGUGCGUAGGUGGUUAUAUAAGUUAUCUGUGAAAUCCCUGGGCUCAACCUGGGCAGGUCAGAUAAUACUGUAUGACUCGAGUAUGGGAGAGGGUAGUGGAAUUUCCGGUGUAGCGGUGAAAUGCGUAGAGAUCGGAAGGAACACCAGUGGCGAAGGCGGCUACCUGGCCUAAUACUGACACUGAGGCACGAAAGCGUGGGGAGCAAACAGGAUUAGAUACCCUGGUAGUCCACGCUGUAAACGAUGUCAACUAGCU